rnacentral:rRNA from 1 species
GAUGAACGCUGGCGGCGUGCCUAAUACAUGCAAGUCGAGCGAAUGGAUUAAGAGCUUGCUCUUAUGAAGUUAGCGGCAGACGGGUGAGUAACACGUGGGUAACCUGCCCAUAAGACUGGGAUAACUCCGGGAAACCGGGGCUAAUACCGGAUAACAUUUUGAACCGCAUGGUUCGAAAUUGACAGGCGGCUUCGGCUGUCACUUAUGGAUGGACCCGCGUCGCAUUAGCUAGUGGGUGAGGUAACGGCUCACCAAGGCAACGAUGCGUAGCCGACCUGAGAGGGUGAUCGGCCACACUGGGACUGAGACACGGCCCAGACUCCUACGGGAGGCAGCAGUAGGGAAUCUUCCGCAAUGGACGAAAGUCUGACGGAGCAACGCCGCGUGAGUGAUGAAGGCUUUCGGGUCGUAAAACUCUGUUGUUAGGGAAGAACAAGUGCUAGUUGAAUAAGCUGGCACCUUGACGGUACCUAACCAGAAAGCCACGGCUAACUACGUGCCAGCCGCCGCCGUAA